GUGCUCUCUUCGGCAGCACAUAUACUAAAAUGGAACUAUACAGACAAGAUUAGCAUGGCCUCUCCACCAGGGUGACACUCAUAUUUGUGAAGUACUUCAUAUUUUG